AUAAGGCUAGUGUUACGCAUUUCAGAUACUAAAUUCUACUACUCUUGUCUCCUGAGAUUUCUAUUGCCUCGUCUCUCUUUUCUAAAUUUUUUCAUUUGGUUAAAUCAAAUUUUAAACAAGUUCAUAUAAAUUAAUAGUCCAUCCCAAACCAAAAUUACAAACUUUCUUUAAUAUUUGACUUAAAACUGACUAGAUUCCCAAGAUUCUUCAAUUGAUAAAACCAAAACUCCUUUUUUGUUUUCUGAAGAUGAAUCCGAACUUGAACAUGUUACAACUUCAACGCUUGUAUUUGAACGCCAAAACCUUCUCUGUUAAAUCUCCAAACCAUAACAUUCCAGUCUUCCCUCGAAAUCUCUCAUACUCUUCUUCUUCAGGAUUCCCAGUUCGUUUUGACUCGAUUUCUGAGU